AAUAAAAUGGCUGAGUUAGAGGCGAUAAAUUGUAAAUUUAUUUACGAGAUGAAUCUCUUUUAUUA
rnacentral:tRNA from 1 species